rnacentral:tRNA from 1 species
GCGCUUGUAGCUCAGUGGAUAGAGCGUGUGGUUGCGGUCCACAAGGUCGGAGGUCCGAUUCCUCCCAAGCGCACAA